UACCGCCCCCAGUCUACCGCCCCCUCCCCAGGCCCUGCCAUCAGCCUACUGCCCCCUCCCCACAGUCCCCAGCCAUCAACCUAGUGCCCCUCCUCAGGCCCUGCCAUCGGCCUACUGCCCUCCUCUGACCCGCCUACCGCCCCCAGCCUACCACCCCCUCCCCAGGCCCUGCCAUCAGCCUACUGCCCCCUCACCUCCCCGGCCAUCGACCUAGUGCCAUCCCCUGCUCUGCCACUCUCCCCACCGCCAGUCUACUGCCCCCUCCCCAGGCCCUGCCAUCAGCCUAGUGCUUCCCUCCCCCCACCCCCUGCCUGCUGCCCCCUCCCCAGGCCCCGUCAUCAGCCUACUGCCCCCCUUUGACCCUCCUCCCACUGUCAGCCUACCACCCACUUCCCAGGCCCUGUCAUCAGCCUAGUGCCCCCCUCUCUGCCCCCUCCCCCCACCCUCAGUCUAGUGCCCUCUUACCUUCCCCGCUAGGGUUGCCAACAUUGUAAUAUUUAAAAACCGGAGACUCCAGCAGGAGUGUCCCCUGCCCUGUCCCUUUCCCGAGGACCCCCUUUCCCCUAAGCCUCACCCCUGCCCUUUCCCCCUGAGACUCUGCCCCUGCACACUGCUCUUCCCUCUGCCCGGAGGGCCUUGCCUGUGGCGCCGGGCUGGGAGCUGCAGCCACCCACCGCAGGUAGGAGUUUCUCAUAUAGGUCACUCUUCAUAUAGGCUGUACUCUUCAAUUCCUCAGAAUGGGAAUAGGGCAGGAACAGUCUCUCUGAAAUUCAGUAGCACUUCCUGCUUCACUGAAGACAUCCCAGAAGACACUUUACAGUAGCAUCAGACACCAGAAAUUCCAUUGCAAUCUGUGAUGUCACUGAGGUUGCAUCUACAAUGGAAAACUGUACCAUUGCUCAUUGCAUCAAUGUGAUUCAACUGGUACAGACUACCCUGGUGCAGAUCAUCCAAAGUAGCCAUUUUGUUUCUGAUACACAAAUCCGCACCCAUGACUUUCUAGCUCCUGCACUUAACAGUUGGUGGUACACUCAUGGAAGGAGGCCUAUUUGCCUUGGGAGAGUGGAGUUUUUAAGUUCUGGCUCCCAUGAAAUCAGUGGGGGUUUUGCCAUUGACUUUAGGCUCAGGAGGACAGGAUGUCACCCUGGUUUGUAUGGCUCCUCCUCUGAAUUCCAAAGACGUUUGUAGCCACCAAUAUUUCAUAUCUAAAUGACAGCGUGUAAAAAAAAAUCAUUUAUUUUGCAUGAGCUAUGUAGUCAGUCUGGUGAUAAACUGAGGGACAGAGUAAUCUGUGCUGUAAAGGAAUGCAGAAUUCCAUUUUCACUGGGUUUAGCUGUCAUGUUUAUCUAGUCCCACAAUGUUCAGCAGGAGUCACUUAGUGCUACCAAAACAUGUAGCUGGGUAGUAACAGAAGAGGUGCAGAAAAGAGAAGAUAGGAAAGGCAGGACCAAGAGAAGACUAGAAGGAGGUGUGGGGGGACACUACCGGAGCUGGGAUGAAAG